ensembl:lncRNA
AUUUGGUCCAAAUUUAGGCCAAAAUAAAUGUUGAAAUAACAGUGAAAUUCUGCGUGACUUCUACGUGCUGUAAUGGGCGCGCGCGCUGAACUGGAGCGGAGGACGUCACCAUGGAAACGAGGCGGCAGCCCAACCGUCAAGCAGCUGAACGCUGACUCUCAAUGUGGUUUUCACUAGUGUUUUUUAGAAAUGGUUUAGUGUCGUCAGAAAAAGUCCGUUAGCAUCUCCACUGUAAGGCUAACUACAAGAGGUAACGAUAAACUUGAGCUCUUAUUUAUUAAGUUUGGGCUUUAUAUGUCAUCUUAUGUGUGGAUGAGCGCUCUCUCGCUCGCUCUCUCUCUCUCUCUCUCUCUCUCUCUCUAUAUAUAUAUAUAUCUCAACGGAUGAAUGGAAGUAAGCUAAUUAAUUUAACCUAAAAGUAUGCACUGUACAGUUAACGUUACAUCACUUACAAUGGGCUGAAAACUUCAGGUUUUGAUCUUUCAUAGUAACGUUAAACACAUAAAUACCACUUGUUCUGUUAUUUCAGAAGUGCCAGAAAAGAAAAAAAAACCUCUAUGACACAGGAGAUGUUCCUGAUUUUAAAAUUUCUGAAGGGAGAUAAUGAAAACACAGACACACACACACACACACACACACACACACAUAUAUAUAUAUAUAUAUAUAUAUGUAUGUGUGUGUGUGUGUGUGUGUGUGUGUGUGUGUGUGUGUGUCUGUGUUUGUUUGCUUGUUAGUUAUUUUGAUGUCCACGCUGUAGGAGCAUUACUAAAUUAGUAAAACUAAAAUGUUUAAGUCUUUUUUUUUUUUGUAUAUAUUCUGUCAAUUAUUAUUUUUCUUUUCUGCAUUUCACCUCUGCUAUAGUUUAUUUAUAAUAAACCUGUCAUUGUAUAAUGAAUAUUGUUGUCUCUGUGACAGUAUGCUUAUGUUCCCAGGUUCUUCCAUGCUGAUGGCUGUGCUCUAGAGUCAUAUCUCCUGUCGAAGAACAUUUUUAGACAUUAUGAACCAUGAAAAAGUUUAGCUCCAACCCCAGUUAAGCAGCUGAUCAAGGAUCACCAGAAACUCUGCAGAACGUUGGUCCUCCAGCCCAGGACUGGACACCAGUGUUAGUGUCUGUCUCAGAAGCUGAAGAAAAGAGGCCACACCUCAGAGGAAAUAAGCGCCCCCUAAGUGUACAGAAAUAAGAUCAGUGACAAACCAGAUAAAACUUCUCAGUGGUCUAAGACAGCUACAAUGAAGCCACAAAUGCAGUUCAUAGUUCCUGUAUUUCUAUAAUGCAUUAAUGAAUAACAGUAAUUAAAAAAAAAUGUAAUGUCAAGGUUUUGUGUUAAUUCCAGCUAUGUUGAGUAUUCUGUGAAU